CGCUAUCACUCCUACGGGAGGCAGCAGUAGGGAAUCUUACCACAAUGGGCGCAAGCCUGAUGGAGCAACACCGCGUGAGUGAAGAAGGGUUUCGGCUCGUAAAGCUCUGUUGUUAAAGAAGAACACGUAUGAGAGUAACUGUUCAUACGUUGACGGUAUUUAACCAGAAAGUCACGGCUAACUACGUGCCAGCAGCCGCGGUAAUACGUAGGUGGCAAGCGUUAUCCGGAUUUAUUGGGCGUAAAGAGAGUGCAGGCGGUUUUCUAAGUCUGAUGUGAAAGCCUUCGGCUUAACCGGAGAAGUGCAUCGGAAACUGGAUAACUUGAGUGCAGAAGAGGGUAGUGGAACUCCAUGUGUAGCGGUGGAAUGCGUAGAUAUAUGGAAGAACACCAGUGGCGAAGGCGGCUACCUGGUCUGCAACUGACGCUGAGACUCGAAAGCAUGGGUAGCGAACAGGAUUAGAUACCCUGGUAG
rnacentral:rRNA from 1 species